rnacentral:rRNA from 1 species
AGCGGCGAAUGGGAGAGUAACGCGUGGUUACGUGCCCCGAGGUCCACGAUAGCGUUGGGAAACCGGCGGUAAUACUGGAUGAUAUCUUCGGAUCAGAGGUGUGAUUCCGCCUUGGGAUCGGACCGCGUACUAUUAGCUUGUAGGUGGGGUAAUGGCCUACCAAGGCUGUGAUGGUUACCGGGUGUGAGAGCAUGGCCCGGCUCACUGGGAGUGAGACACUGCCCAGACACCUACGGGUGGCUGCAGUCGAGAAUCUUCGGCAAUGGACGAAAGUCUGACCGAGCGAUGCCGCGUGCGGGAUGAAGGCCCUCGGGUUGUAAACCGCUGUCAGUUGGAAGGAAGGGCCUGUGCAGAGCAGGUCUUGACCGAUCUACAGAGGAAGGACGGGCUAAGUUCGUGCCAGCAGCCGCAGUAAGACGAACCGUCCAAACGUUAUUCGGUAUCACUGGGCUCAAAGCGUGCGUAGGCGGCCUGGAAGGUGAGAUGUGAAAGCCCACGGCUCAACCGUGGAAUUGCGUUUCAAACCGCCAGGCUUGAGGAAGACAGGGGUGUUGGGAACUUAUGGUGGAGCGGUGAAAUGCGUUGAUAUCAUAGGGAACACCGGUGGCGAAGGCGCGACACUGGGUCUAUUCUGACGCUGAGGCACGAAAGCUAUGGUAGCGAACGGGAUUAGAUACCCCGGUAGUCCUAGCCGUAAACGAUGAGCACUGGGUUGAGGGGACUUCCACAUCCUCUCGGCCGUAGCGAACAGCGUACAGUGCUCCGUCUGGGGAGUAUGGUCGCCAAGUUGAAACUCAGAGGAAUUGACUGGGGGUUCACACAAGCGGUGGAGGAUUUGGCUUAAUUCGAGGAUACGCGAAGAACCUUAUCCUAGAUUUGACAUGC